AACUUGCCUUUCUUUUUCUCCCACUUUCUUUAGCUUGAUUAUUGUUGGUAGACUAUGGUGCGACAGUAACCAGCCAAAUCCUUCUGCAUUGGCUUUAAAGUAGUUUUAGUAUUUCAGAGAAAAGGCUCAGGAUUGUUUUUAGCUGUUAUUUCCUUCGCCACCCCCUCCCCCAUUUUCUGUUUAUAACAUGGAUAAAUGGGGAGAAAAACUAUUCUGAGGUGUUUUCUUGAACAGCAGUGACAGACAACAUACAUUUAUUUGUACUAGUCUGAUUAUUUUUGCUCAGAAUGCUAGUGAAAAUUGCUGGCUUUUCCUGUUUAACCCCAGAAUUAAGAAUUGUUUAAGGCUAAUAUCAGAGUAUAUUAAUCUCUUUGAUGUGUCAAGGCUGAUUCAAGACAAUGUACAAGAUCCUGUAAUAGUUACUUGUAGAUUUACCAGAAAUAGGUGUGUUACACUCCACUGAUACCCCAUUUUUCUCACUUGGAUGUAAAGGGAAGAUUAGAUAUAAUCAGUAACUAUGCUUUAAAGCUGCUGUCAUCUGUCUAAAGAAAAUGUUUUUGUAUCCGGUAUCUGAAAAUCUGUUCUUUCAUUUCCUUUACUCUGCUUGUCUGCUUCACUCCCUGGAAAUGAGACAAACAUACUGGUUUCUGAGGAAUUUAACAUGUGGUACACAUGCCUACAUGGAAACCCAAAGCUCGGUACACACUUCAGUUACUGCUUGCUUUGUCUGAAUAAGCUUCAGCAGUCUGCUUGAAGAGCAGGCCAAGUUAGCUGCCCAUAUGUCCUUUGUGAGCAAAAGUAUAAAAUCUUUACAUAUCAAAUUAUCACCUGUGUUCAAAGUUAUUUGCUGUUCACUGCUACACUGCAUGGAACUUGUUCAGCUGGGCAGCAUUCAGUGGAAUUUUGACUUCAUUUGGCACAGUGACACAUUGGAUAGAAAGUACUUUCUAUUGACUUGAAAAGAUACCUAACUUGUCAUGCCCUAGCCCUACAUUAUUGUACACCACUGGGACACAUCAUUUAUUAAAAUAAACCACAUUUUUGUGUUCUGUGACUAAAUUACAAAAAAUAAGUUAGCUUUUACAGUUAGAAGUUACUGCCCCAUUUGGACGUUUAAAUGAGAAGAAGGCAUUUGAUGUGCUUUUUUUUCCUGUAGAGGUUUACUAAGCAUGCUUUUGUGUUAAUUUAAUCUGUUUCAAGUUUGUAAGUAGUGGCCAUCUCAGUCAGUUUGUCUCCUACUUCAACAUACAGUCCCUGUUUGAUUCUUAUUAAAUACAUUGAUUUCAGAGAGCAGAAAAAAAUACAUAAAGCCUUAACCAUGCAUCCUCGAAAAAACCAGUGUGUGACUCUUGUUUUGUGAAAACCUUCAUUAAACUUAUAGAAUAUCUUGAAGGUUUUUUUUUCCCUCCCAUGUUGUUGGUUUUUUUUUCCCUCAAAAUAUUGUGUUUGUACUUUUGUGUUUCUCCAUUAGCAUUGUUGCCUGCUACAUAAAGAACAAUUUUUUGCCUUCUCAACAGUUCGCAGGCAGUGAUUCUAGAGAAGAGCGAGUGUCUGUCAGUAAUGCUCUCGUUCAUUCACAAUUACCAUUCACGCAAACUACCUCUGCUGCUACCCAGCUUUUUCUGCAGGUGUGCAAUGAAAAAUUGAUGGUCAGAGAGACAAUCUCUAAAACAGACUCAAAGUGGCGCUCAACAAUAAAGUAUGUGCUCUGAUACAAGCAUUCACCAAGGUAAUCUUACAUUCUAAAUCCUGUGAAAGCACCUCAAUAAAACAACCUUUAAAGUGGAUGCAUAACAUUUACUUUGUAAUUGGAACAGAUUGCUAUCUUUUGAGUCAUUUGGUGCGGUUCUUUGACCUGUGCUUCAGAAUGUUCCUCACAUUAUUUUCCCCUACUCCUCCAGGCAUUGCUACUUCUGCUUAUUUUAAAGCCUAUGCAAUUGAUUAUAUCAUUCAUGGGUUUUUGGCAGAUCUGGCUUUUGAAUCUGUGGACUUCAGAGAAUUCACUGAAGUUCACACAUUACCUCUCAAAAUAGCAGUUGAAAACAUUUGAAUUUUUUUUAAACAAAAAGGAGCUUAAUUUUUGUGAUCUUAUGGAAGGAGGGAGUAUAGGCAAGGCAAAAGGGCUACUUGCUCUACAAUUGUAUAUUCUGUAGUUUUAUUUGAACUGCCUGGAAUCCCCUACCUGAGUAAUACUGCUCAGGCCGCCUCCUUUUUUUAUAAUAUGUACACAGACAUGUGAAUAAAUAAAGUAACUUGAAUGCUAUGAUGCUGUAAUGCACAAGAUUUUGAGAUUUUUCAGGAUGAGUAGAAGCAGCUGUAUGUAAGCUCACAGUGGUUUCAAUUUACCCGGCUUCUUGAGCUGACUACAGUACAAUGGAUGCAUGUACAUCCCCUUUAAAAAUAUGUAUACAUUUCUUCCUUGGUUAAAACCAGUUACUAUAAUAACUCUCUUAUUUUUGAGGUUCACAGUGAACUGAUUUAAGAACACCAUGUGGUACUGGAUGAUUUGUUUUCCGUGCCUUUUUUAUUGUAACUGUUUGGCAGUGAAAGAUAAUGAUUUAAACAUGCUAUGUUAGAUUUAAAUAUGGAGCAACAAGAGAGAAACUGGUUUCAUUUAAAUUCUGUCCAAGAAAAUAAUAUUCAUAUCCGCUAAUAUUCCCCUUUAGAAAUAUUUUUUCUCUUUACUGGCUAAAACAAUCCUCCACCGCUAGUGUUCUUAAACAGAAAUGCCCAGUAAAGUUUUUUUUUUUAAACUUUAUAGAGUGCAUUUUGUUUUCUUUUGCAGGGAGAUGUCAACAUCUCCAGUUUAUAGGUUGCAUGCAUCCUUCAGAUGUCUGUCAGAGUUGAUAAAUGUCUUGUUACAUUUUUUGGUUAAUUCUUCAAGCAAGAUUGUAGAUACUUUUUAUUCUGAAUAGUUAUAGCAGUUAGCUUUCAUGAUUUCAAUGUUAUUUUUUCAUCUGUGCUAUAAACCCAACCUUGUUUUUUUCCUUGCUGUUUGCAGUUUAAAAGACCAGCACAAAGAGAAAGAUUGCGUCUACUCAGUGAGAAAACACGUUCAUUUAGGAAAAAAGACACCGAUUUUCUUUCACCGCUGUUGGCUGUGCUGCUCAGGUUUACAUUUAACACGUGUAUUUUCCAUUUCCCCCAUCUGAUCAAGUUCAGCUCCUCAAUGAAACAAUAUCUUAAAAAGAAAAUGAUUUGGGGAAAUGAUAGUUACUAAAGAGUGUAUUGCUCACUAAGAUGCUCUGUUGAUCAGUAAGAGUGAAAAAGCUACCCUUACUGAUAAGAGCAUGCAAGGCAUUCGGCUGUCUCUGUCAGGUUAAUGCAACACUGGAUUAAUAAAAAUGUUGGAAGACCUCUUGGAGAACUGACCUUUUGACAAAUCAGUGAAGAUAACCAGUUGGCUGUUUUUGUACCAGAUUCAUCCUGGAAGAAAAAUGUUCAACCUAAAGGAUGUAAUUAAUUAUAAAACUGUUACAAUUUCAUGAAAAUGUAGAUUCCAGCCAAAGCAUGACUGACUACCUUUGGCAGCUGCCUAGGCUUUUCUAGGUAUAUAGUCAUUGGAUGUAAUGUCAUGUGGCCCAGGGUUCAUGUUCUGUAAUGCAGCAACUGUUGCUAGAGGCUUGUUUUGUGGCCUUUUUAUUCCAUAGCUGAUGUGGAAUUCUUUCUAAAACAAAAUAAUGCUUCCAAAUUUUAGUUCUUACCUGUUUUUUUUUUUUUUUUAAAUUUUUUUCUAAAUUGAUUGAUUUAGAACUCUUAUUUUUCGGUUAUAAAAAAAAAAAAAAAAAGUUGCAUUCUGUGAAUGGUGUGUUUUGAGUUUUCUCCACAGUGUAAAUUGCCUUGUAAAAAUUCCUUGGUUUAUACCUGAUACAUACAAAUGACACAGACUACUUCAGUUUACUGGAGGUUAUUGUUUUGAAUAAUGUGUGGUGAACACAAACUACUUCAGUUUACUGGAGGUCAUUGUUUUGAAUAAAUGCGUUGUUGCAUCUCACUGUUGUAACCUGAAUGUUUGAUCUUCCAAAGAAAUUCUUAGGAAUUUCUGCCUACAUAAAUUGCAUUUCUUUCCUUGGUUACUUAUGGGUUAAAUAUAGUUGAAGAUUGUAAUAUAUCUCUUUAAUUACUUUGGAUUUAUUGUAUCAGGGUUUUAUUAUGCACCAAGUUCUGCCCCUAAGUUUGCAAGUUCUUUUCAUGAAACUUCUCAAACUGCUCAAAUUAGCCUGCUUCUUUCCUGAGUGUAAUUCUGCAUUUAGUAAUGUGAAAAAAUGCUAUUUCUAGUCUGUUUCAUUGUUACGCCUUUGUAAAAUGUUUCAGUCUAAAAGACAGGUUUUUUUUUUUUUUUUUUUUUUGUAAAUAGGUAAAACCUUUAAUUCAGUCCUGUCCAUGGUUUAUCCCCCUAGUUUUCUGGUUUUCAUUCACUUUUUAAAGUCUUAAGUUUGGUAUAUUUAAAGUUGUUUCUUUACAGUCGAUGUAUUUAUUUUGCAACAUGAAAUUGCAUUCUAAAGUGAAGCAUAUUUUAUUAUAAAAAAAAAAAAAGAAGAAGAAAGAAAAAAAAAUAGCCCAUUAUUGUGUUUUGUAAUGGAGCCAAUGGGUACCAAGGUCCCUUUAUACAAAAAAAAAAAACCCCUUAAAAUGUAAAAGUGCAUCUAUUUUUGAAGUAGCAAAAGUUUUGACUUGAGAAAAUGUGCCUUUCUUGUUUGAAGUAUGCAUUGACACAACAAACGUAAACUGAAAGUAAUACAUUUAUUUUAUCAGAGAUUCUUGGGACUAUUUUCUUAAGGUAUGUUAUGUUUCUUUCUGAUUUGUUUGCUGACCGACUGUUAGGGGUGGAUUUAUUUCAUGACAACACUGAACAACAGAGCCACCCUCAGCCAUUGGAAUUCUGUAUUAUUUUACAAAACCCAUGAAACAACAUGUACAAGUGGCAGUUUAGUGAAAUGCACACACAAGUGUUCAAUGAUACAUUGCACACAUAACAAUAAACCUGAACUGCACUGAUUCCACUGCCUUUUAAAUUAAAUUUUUGAGCCAAGUGACCUUUACUAUGGUGUGUAUUUCACAUGGACAAAAAUAAAAUAAUAAAGCCAAGUGUACUGUAAAGCAUAUGGAAGCAUCACAAACCAGUUGCCUUUUUUGCUGGUAGUAAAAGAGCUGAGAUAAUGUUUUGAGUGUGUAAAUUCACUUGACACUGAUUUCAAUGAAUCUUUAAAUGCAUAGAGAAAACAUGCAGCCUCCAUAUUGAACGUGGUGCUCUGAGGCAGGAAUGACAGCUCUGUGCUACCACUCUGCCUAUGUUUAAAAACAUCUGUACUGAACUUGCUAAACUUGAGCCUGAUUAGCAACACCAAUUCACCAAAGUUUAAAGUGGCCCAGGCAUGUGUCUAUGUUCGUUCGUUCACCUUGGAAUGGACAGCAAUUGUGCCUGCCUUGCAUCUGAUGCUCGCUGGGAUAGGCUACAGCUGACCUGCAAACCUGCCCUGGACAAGUGAGUUAGGAGGAUGGAUGCCUGUUUACAUAUAAUAUUUGUUUAAUUCUUGUCACUUGAUUACAAGCAACUCGCCUGCUUAAUAUUCUCUGUCACUAACACUGUGCAUUAUCAAUCAGUCUAGGGCAGCAGGCAGUAUCUUUUCAAAAUAGAAGCGGUCACAAGUGUGACUUUUUCAGUUAUUGUCUGUUUCUCAAACAUACACAGCAAUUCACAUCUGGGCAUCACAAUUUAAUAAUGUUAGUAAAAAAUGGUGAUAACUUUGAGGUUAUUCCAAAUCCAUGGUGUUAAAGGGGUGCAGCAGAGGAAAAUUAAUAGGGUAGAUGACGAUGUGAAGCACACAGCUGGUCUCUUUAGAAGUAUGAUUUGCAUUUGUUGUCUUGAAACAAGACAGUUGUUUUGCAAGAGGUUUAUGAUCUCUAUAUGGAUCAGAACUCUUAACAUUUGGUAAGUUUUACACCUUUUCUUUGUAAUGUGACUCUAGCAUCCAUAAUAAUGCAAGAGCAUGAUGGUAGUUUUUUUUUUUUUUUUAAAUGCAUAAAAUAUGCUUCAUUUUAGAGUGCAGUUUCUUGUGGCAAACUAAUAUAUAUGAUUGUGAAGAGAUAACUUUGACUGGAGAAAUACCAAAGUUAUCCUUUAAUGGUUCAUUACCACCAUGUCCACUGCUGCUUUAACUAAAAAAAAAAAAAAAAAAUUCUGUUGAACAUCAGAAGUUCAACUGCCAUGUUUGUACAAAUUUAAAAUGAAAUUGUCUGUAGUGCUGCAUAUGUGUUCCAUGAUCAAAGUAAUCGGCAUAGAGAAGGCCCAUUCUUUUGAUGCAAAGGCUUUCAGAUUUACAUAAACGUUGCUAAGCCUGAUAAUAAAAUUGCAGAAUUACUUACCAGUAUAUUGCAAACAGUUGCCAGUUUAAAAAAUGCUUCAAUUUCCAUGAAACUGACGUGGCAGUUUUCAGAGGUAUGUACUUUUAAUAUGAAGAUUAAAGCUGGAGUAUACAUUUGAAACAGUCUUCUUAGUCCUUGACCCUGGUACUUUACUUGACUGUAGGCACAUUUCAUACCCUGCUAGUGCUCUAUAUGGUUGGCUGUUAUAAUACAUUAAUGGGGCUGUUAUAAUACAUUAAUGGAUGCAGUGUUCAUUUGUAGUAUAACUUUAGGCCAACAGUAUUUUGUAAUCAUUAUAAAAAUAAUUAGAGGAACGCAGUUGUUUCUGCUAGUUAUAUUUUUAUAGUGAUCUGUUUCUAAUACAUUCAAAGUUUUACUUUAGUCGUAUUCUGACAUUUGAGACAAAUUGGCAUAUUAAGAAGUGUGAAAAUUAUUUAGUGCUUUCUAUGAUGUCUGUUAAAAGUAAAUACAUUUCAUUCACAAGACUAGUUUUGCCAGUGAUUUUAGAACAACCUCAUCUCUCUGGCAGUGCUGAAUUAACAGUGACUCAGUACAAAUUACUGACAAACUAGUUUGUUUUUUUUCACAAAGUGAAAAAUGCAGUUAUUUACUCAUUGUCUUCAGUACAUUCUGACCUGUUUUCAUUCAGAAUACAAUUUUAGGGAGCCUAUGUUUUAUAUUUCAAAAGUUGUACAUGUGUUGCAACCCCCAUACUCCUCCCCCACCCCUAAAGGUCUGUAGCUACAAACUAUUUAAACUGUGUUCAUUCUGAAAAUGUGACAUUCUAUGAUUUAAGAACUUGAUUACAGUGAAAACCAGCAGACAUGGGGGGUGUGGGGGAUUGGCACCAGGACAGAAGUAAAUGUGGUGUAUAAUCUCUUGGAGACGAGCUAACCUUGCUCAUACUUUUUUUUU